UUCCUUUCCUUACCUUUUUUUUUUUUUUUUUUUUUUUUCGGGAAGGAAGAAUAAUUAAUCAAGAAAGAGGGUGGUAG
rnacentral:ribozyme from 14 species